AUUGAACGCUGGCGGCAUGCCUUACACAUGCAAGUCGAACGGCAGCACGGGAGCAAUCCUGGUGGCGAGUGGCGAACGGGUGAGUAAUAUAUCGGAACGUGCCCAGUCGUGGGGAUAACGUAGCGAAAGCUACGCUAAUACCGCAUACGAUCUAUGGAUGAAAGCGGGGGAUCGCAAGACCUCGCGCGAUUGGAGCGGCCGAUAUCAGAUUAGGUAGUUGGUGAGGUAAAGGCUCACCAAGCCGACGAUCUGUAGCUGGUCUGAGAGGACGACCAGCCACACUGGGACUGAGACACGGCCCAGACUCCUACGGGAGGCAGCAGUGGGGAAUUUUGGACAAUGGGCGCAAGCCUGAUCCAGCAAUGCCGCUGCAGGAUGAAGGCCUUCGGGUUGUAACUAGCUUUUGUACGGUAACGAAACGGUGAGNUCUAAUACAGUUUG
rnacentral:rRNA from 1 species